rnacentral:rRNA from 1 species
CCCGCUGAACUUAAGCAUAUCAAUAAGCGGAGGAAAAGAAACUAACUAGGAUUCCCUUAGUAACGGCGAGCGAACCGGGAAUAGCCCAACUUGAAAAUCUCCCUUUGGAGAAUUGUAGUCUAGAGAAGCGCCCUCAUGGGCUGGCGGAACUCAAGUCGGAUCGAAUGCCGCGUCAGAGAGGGUGAUAACCCCGUCGGUUCCUGCCUAGUCCUUCCACGAGGUGCUUUCCACGAGUCGGGUUGUUUGGGAAUGCAGCCCUAAUUUGGAGGUAAAUCCCUUCUAAGGCUAAAUACUGCUGAGAGACCGAUAGCGAACAAGUACCGUGAGGGAAAGAUGAAAAGAACUUUGAAAAGAGAGUUAAAAGUGCUUGAAAUUGUUGAGAGGGAAGCGAUUGGCGCUUGUGGGUGCGCCCAGGCUUAAGCGGUCCUAACGGCCCGUUGAAUGUGCUGGGUGCUGGUCAGAGUGGGUUGGUUUGGCGGGAUAAAAGUCGGGUCCACCCAGGUAACCCGGCCGAUGCCGCCGAACCGACCAAGGUGUGAAGAGCGCUCUGUCCUUCGGGAUCUGCGUUCUAAAGACUCUGGCAGAAUAGCGUCAAUCGACCCGUCUUGAAACACGG